rnacentral:rRNA from 1 species
CCCUUAGAUGUUCUGGGCCGCACGCGCGCUACACUGAUGCAUUCAACGAGUCUAAAACCUGGUCUGAUAGGGCUGGGUAAUCUUUUGAAUGUGCAUCGUGAUUGGGAUAGAUGAUUGCAAUUCUUCAUCUUCAACGAGGAAUGCCUAGUAAACGCAAAUCAUCAGCUUGCAUUGAUUACGUCCCUGCCCUUUGUACACACCGCCCGUCGCUCCUACCGAUUGAAUGUUCCGAUGAAUACCAUGGACUGAGAGUAUGAAUGGGUUCGCCUAUUUCUGCUUCUCGGGAAGUGGAGUAAAUCUUAACAUUUAGAGGAAGGAGAAGUCGUAACA